rnacentral:lncRNA from 1 species
CUGACUUCCUGUUGCCUUCAAGAUGUAGGACUCUCAGCUCCAGCACCACAUCUGCCUUCAUGCUGCAUGUUCCCUUUCAUGGCCAUAUGGAAUGAACUUCUGAAACUGGGAAGAAAUGGGUAAAACAGAGCAUAGACUCCAAGAGCUUGAACUGACACAAGGUGACACGUCUUCUACUGCCUUCAAACUGCAGAAUUCUGCAAAUGUUUCAAAGACUCUCUGGGUUGCUGAAUGUUCACCUGAUAGAGAUACUUUAAAAGCUGAAAGAAAUCCCUUCCUCUCAGAUCCUAUUGCAUUCAUUUUCUCACAUCCUCCCGCCAUCUGUGCUUCCUUCUUCUGGCUGUACUUCCAAACUAAAACUGGGGAGGAAAAGGAAUCUCGAUGAACAGGAAUCAUCCGCUGAAGAAGCCAAUGGACUGUUUUUGAUACAUUGUAAAGGUAUUUAUUUAAAUCCUGUCAGAAUCAAAGAAUACAUUCUUUUCCGGAAUUCUAGAAAUCCCCCAAAGAAAUGGUACACCAAAAAUAAAGGACAAACCAGAACCAACCUCCAUUUAUUUCAGGUUUUUCCCUCCAUCCCUUCCUCCCUUCCCCCUCCCCGUUUCUCUUUCUUUUCCCCAAGACAAAGUUUCC